rnacentral:rRNA from 3 species
UCUCGGCAAAUUAUCCUCAUAAGUUAGACGAAAAGAGGUACCAUUUAUGAUUUCUAAUAAUUGAAAGAUAAAUGGUGGCACAGAAUCGGAGGCCACGACUGUUUACUAAAAACACAACACAGUGCAAUCAUUAAUGUGGUAGUAUACUGUGUGAAAUUUGCCCAAUGCCAUUAAUAUAAAAGCGGUUAUAGGAAACUGUGACUAAUUGAAAAUCUGGUUAAUAGCGGUCUUAACCAUGAGGAUCCUAAGGUAGCAAAAUAAAUUGGCCAUUAAAUGUGGUCCGGUAUCAAUAAUGUAACGAUGGCCUCACUGUCUCUACAACUUGCUCAGUGAAAUUGAAUUACGCGUGCAGAUGCGCGUUACCUCCAGUGGGACGGGAAGACCCUAUGCAGCUUCUACUGA